UUAGGCUCUCCUUUGCUGAACGUGUCCAAUCUUGGAAGCUAAGCAGGGCUGAGCCUGCUUAAUACUUGGAUGGAAUGCCACGUGGGAAUACUAGGUNCUGUAGCCUUGC
rnacentral:rRNA from 1 species